rnacentral:tRNA from 1 species
GGGGUUUGUAGCUUAGUGGUAGAGCGCCUGCCUCGCACGUGUGAGACCCUGGGUUUGUUCCCCAGCACUGCA